rnacentral:lncRNA from 1 species
GGGAUGAAGAUGAACCACGGGCUGGGAUGCAAUCCGUGGGAUAAGGAUACUUUGGAUAUAGCUGGGAGUGGUUCCGAAACAAGGGAAGAGAUGGCUUUGUUCGUGGACAUGGAAGGAAUCCGAAGGAGGUUGGCUUGAUUCGAUGGGAUCUGGGAUGCAGGGGAUGCGGAUAUGAACGGGAUGAAGCUGGGAGAUACGUGGGGUGCUGGAUCGCGUUCACGAAUUGGGGAAGGAUGAUAUGAAGUUGGGAUGAAGUUUGGUAACGAACAUGAUCCGGAGGGAGGCUGGGACGGGC